UACGUAGGAGGCGAACGUUAUUCGGAUUUACUGGGCGUAAAGGGAGCGCAGGCGGUUCCUUAAGUCAGGUGUGAAAUCUUCUGACUUAAUCAGAAGAGGCCAUUUGAUACUGAGGAACUUGAGAGCAACAGAGGGAAAUGGAAUCCCCAGUGUAGCGGUGAAAUGCGUAGAUAUUGGGGGGAACACCAGUGGCGAAGGCGAUUUCCCAGGUUGUUUCUGACGCUGAGGCUCGAAAGCGUGGGGAGCGAAGCGGAUUAGAUACCCGCGUAGUCCACGCCCUAAACGGUGGACACUAGAUAUGGGGAGUAUCGACCCUUUCUGUGUCGAAGCUAACGCUUUAAGUGUCCCGCCUGGGGAGUACGGCCGCAAGGCUAAAACUCAAAGGAAUUGACGGGGGACCGCACAAGCAGCGGAGCGUGUGGUUUAAUUCGAUGCUACACGAAGAACCUUACCAGGGCUUGACAUGACAGAAGUAGGAAUUCGAAAGGAGGACGACCUGUAUCCAGUCAGGAACUGUCACAGGUGCUGCAUGGCUGUCGUCAGCUCGUGCCGUGAGGUGUUAGGUUAAGUCCUGCAACGAGCGCAACCCUUGUCCUAUGUUAAAUUCUCAUAGGAGACUGCCCUGUACAGCAGGGAGGAAGGAAAGGAUGACGUCAAGUCAGCAUGGCCUUUAUGUCCUGGGCUACACACACGCUACAAUGGGUGAUACAAUGGGUUGCCAAGGAGCGAUCCGGAGCUAAUCCCUAAAAAUCAUCCUUAGUUCGGAUUGCAGGCUGAAAUCGCCUGCAUGAAGUCGGAGUUGCUAGUAACCGCAGGUCAGCUAUACUGCGGUGAAUACGUUCUCGGUCCU
rnacentral:rRNA from 1 species